CCAAUAGCGUAUAUUAAAGUUGUUGCAGUUAAAAAGCUCGUAGUUGAAUUUCGGGAUCAAUACGUCUGUCGUGCCUUUGGUACGUACGGGUGUAAUUGGUUUCUACCUUCUGAGGAUUCUUGAUGUCAUUAAUUUGGUGUCUUGGGGAAUCAGGACUGUUACCUUGAAAAAAUUAGAGUGUUUAAAGCAGGCAUACGCUUGAAUACAUUAGCAUGGAAUAAUGAAAUAGGACGUUCGAUUCUAUUUUGUUGGUUUCUAGGAUCGACGUAAUGAUUAAUAGGGAUAGUUGGGGGCAUUAGGAUUCAAUUGUCAGAGGUGAAAUUCUUGGAUUUAUUGAAGACUAACUACUGCGAAAGCAUUUGCCAAGGAUGUUUUCAUUAAUCAAGAACGAAAGUUAGGGGAUCGAAGACGAUCAGAUACCGUCGUAGUCUUAACCAUAAACUAUGCCGACUAGGGAUCGGAUGGUGUUAAUUUUUUAAUGACUCAUUCGGCGCCUUACG
rnacentral:rRNA from 1 species